AACAAAAACUUAAAAAAUAGUAUAAUAAAUGUACUGUUGUGUAAAUGUUUUGUGCAUUUCAAGGGAACGAUUUGCUUUCCCCUUCAUUUACCAUUUAGCACUUGUUUAGCAUAUUAGCUAAGGUGCUAUAGUUCGGUCAUCAUUAAAAUUACUCAAUAUAAUAUUGAAAAGUGAACGUCUAAUUACUAUGGAGCUGGUGAAUGAAAAGUUUUGUGUAGAAAUAUGACCGUGAUUCUGCAUUUCUUUUUACAUCGUCGAAACGUGCAGGUUUUUUUGUCCGGUCAAACAAAGCUAGGUUAGCCUAAAUGCUACGUGUUCUGGGUUCUCCUUAAUAAAUUAUCUGAUAGCAGAGAGAACUGCUUGUUGAAUGUGUGCGUUAUCCAUCUAUUACUAUGUACGUUUUGCCUCGAUUUAGACUUGGUGGGGUUACGUUUUUGUUAACAUUCUUAGUUAUAGUUAGAGAUGGCAGACACAGAGCUUUGCAAAAUUGUUUUAGUAUACUGUAUAAUCAGAGAAAUGGCAUAUAUGAGAUGAACCCUGGAGAACCCAACAAUUUUGUUCAGCAGGGCUUAAAGUUAAACCAUUUUUUUUGGCACAUUUUAGAAUGCUGCUAAUAACAGCAGCCUAAUUUAAUAUAAAAAAAUAAAAACAUUAAAAAAACAAGGGCCAGAUUUGACCCAGUGGAUUCUCCAGGGUGACAUAUGUUCACCCUUGUUAUUCAUGGUGAAAACUGCUACAAUCAAGCAAAGUUUUUUGUAUUCCAGGCCAUCAUGUUGGUAAAAGUAAACUGUGGAGGAAAGAAGAAGUACAUAAAACUUGAAGAGGCAUGCUUCUCUGAUUUUAUUAGUGCAGUUCAGCAGAAAUUUCUCAUACCAGAGACUACAGCACUAAAGGUCACAGAUGACCAAGGUGUCGAGGUUGAUGAAGAUGUUUUCCCAGAAGUUGCGACAGCUAAAGAAGCUUGUUUUUUCAUAUACACCCCAAAUGAGGGUUCAUCUGAAGAAUCAUCUCAGACCUUUGGCUCUUCAGACCAGACAGAGUAUGUGACUCUUACACCAUGCGAUUUGACCGUGCCACAAGAAGAAUGUGAAAGACCCCAAGUCUCACGGAUACGUUGUCGCUCUCAAGCAGUCUGAGUAGUGACACAAGUGAUUCUGGGGGGAAUCAACCAAUGGACAGUGUUUUUGCAAAAAAUUCAUGCCAAAGCCUUGAAGAUCAUCUCUUGACCACUGAAGUAACAAAUCAGCCAUACCUUCUUGCCACAGGAACUUCAAAAGCUCAGGUUUCCACCUUCUACAUCAUCUUGGACAAAAAUCUUCUCCCAUGUCAGGCAUGUACAACUUUAGGAGCUUUUGAUGAACUGUUCAAGUCCCAUUUUGUUUUCAACGUGAGGUAUGAUGAUGCUCUGUCUAGUCUGGACACAUUUUUGCAGACUACAGUGUACAAUAUUGAUGUGGGCACAACUGAAGAAACUCCAAGAGUCAAGGAGCUUAGAGCAAAGCUGCUAAACAAGCAUUAAUUGGCCUAUUUAGCCAACAUGUUAACCCUUUAUAGGGCAAGUGACUGUUUUUGGUCAUUUCUGCACCUGUUACUUAUCACGCCCUUCCCCCGUCUCAGUGAGUUCAAGAGUCAUGGAAUCUUUCCCCAUGACUCAGUAAAGAUCAUCCUCCAUUAUAGCUUACUCAAUUGUGCAACUUGACCAAUCAGCAGAGAGCAGGGUCACAUCAAAUUUCCCUUUUUCUCCAAAAUGAGAAAAAGUUGCUUUUGCAGCUCAGUUCACUGGACAUUUUCAAAGGAAUCGUCAAAACUAACCAUGCUUCCAUCAAUUUUUUAUGGCAAGAGGAGGGAGACUGCUGUUGUGCCAGUCCACCCUGACAUUAGUGAUGAUGAUGAGGAUCAAGAUGAUGAUGUGUCAGACCCCGACUUCGCCCCACCCACCAACAACCAGGACAUUCCCAGACCCUCACACACAGUUGUGUGAGGGUCUAUUCAACACUUUUGUUAUCAGCACUUUUUGUUAUUAGCACUUUUAUGUUCUAAAAGUGAUGUUCAAAUGUUCAAAUACAUAAUGUGUUUUUCUUAUAUUUAUAUAUAUAUGUAUACUUAUUGGAAUUUGUUUUACCACUCACGGGCAAGUGACCAAAUACGGUAACUUCAUUGGCAUUGAUUUUCUACGUGAAAAUAAAAAAAAUUGAAAAAUGUCACCAAUGAUAUGAAGUCUUGUUAUGUUCUCCAAUAACUCUCUAAGGUUGAAUUUUUGAAUUUUAGAGUAUUUCAUUUAGUGCCCUAUAAAGGGUUAAGGUGUUUUCUCUGUAAGUCAACCUAUGCCUCGGUUUUACUUUUGUUUAGGCACCUUAAACUCAUUCACGGAAUGUAUCCAGGAAAAAAUCUAAUCCUGAAAUGUGGUCAAUUAGAUUGUUGUUUACAGUUCUCAAGUUAUUCUGGGUUUAGGAGACAUCUUCUAAGGAUACAUUCUUUGACUGAAGACACAAGUGCUACUACUGACAUUCCCUCCAACAGCCGCAUUGAACCCAUUACUCAUUCUAUAUCCUCGAAUGAUGAAAUGCCAUCUACUUCAUCUCAAUUUCUAAACAAAGAAGCAAACCUUACAAUGCCUACCCAGAAAAAAGAAAUGUGUGCCUCAGUUAUAGCCAAGCUUUUAGGUAACAGUGUGCCAAAUACAGUUGUUAUGUCCACAAUUGAAAAUUUAGAGGAAUUAGUUGAAGAUCUGCAGUCUGAUAUAAGGGACAAAGUAUUAAACUUACUCCCUGUUGGUAAUCCAUCAAGGCCUGCCAUAGAAAACCUUUUUAAGAAUUGGGAUAAUCCUUUUAGCCAAUUAAACUCUGACACCAAAUGGAAGAAAUACUUUAGGGAUAAAUGGGGUGUAGUUGAGCCAGUUGAAAUACGUCUUGGAGUCAGGUAUGAUACCAGACGAAAUAACAGCACAGGAACUUAUGAACAAGUUCCUGUUAAUGACAAAUUUAUAUAUAUUCCAGUUUUGAAAACACUCCAAUUCAUUUUUUAAAAUGAAAACAUUUGUAAAAUGAUGGAAACAUGUAGUCACUCUGAAACAUACAAGGUGUGAUGGGAGCUACUUCAAAAGUCAUCCUUUAUUUUCCGUUGAUAAAUUUGCCCUUCAGAUACAAUUAUACUAUGAUGAAUUUGAAUGUGCAAAUCCUCUUGGAUCAAAAAAAGGAAUACACAAAGUAGGCUGCUUUUACUUUAUUCUCAGAAAUCUUCCCCCAAUGGUGAAUUCCACCCUCAUGAACAUCCAUCUGGCUUCUUUAUUUUAUGCACAAGAUGUCAAGAAGUAUGGGAUUGACGAAAUACUGAAACCCCUCAUAAAUGACUUAAAACCACUAGAAACUGUUGGUGUUGUUGCUCCAUUUGCUGAACAACCUGUACUUGGCACACUUGCUCAAAUCACUGGCGAUAACUUGGGCAUGCAUUGCAUUCUUGGGUUUGUGGAAUCAUUUAAUGCACAUUAUUUCUGUCGCUUUUGUUUAACUGAUAAAUCUUCAGUUCAGUUUGUGUUCUCAGAGGAUGACCCAAGCGUGAUUUUAAGAUCACCCGUUCUGAAUGAUCAACACUGUGCUCGUUUGGCUGAUGAUCUAACACUAAGCUCAUGUUUUGGCAUAAAGAAGAAAAGCACACUUAACACUUUGAAAUACUUCAAUACGGCAGAAAACUAUGCAGUAGAUAUCAUGCAUGAUAUUUUGGAAGGGGUUGGCCAAUUUGAGAUAAGACUUCUUUUUGAAUAUUUGAUUGAACAUUUCAUUUCCAAAGAAAGUUUACUGAACAGGAUAUAUGCUUUUAAUUAUGGUUAUUUUGAAAACAAAAACAAGCCAACAAGCCUUAAUCUUGAUUGUGUGGGCCAUGGAAUUGGGUUAAAUGCAACACAAACACAUAAACAUUGUGUUUGCAUAUGAUAUCACUGAAGGCAUGACAGUGUAUUUAAAACACUUAAUCAGCGAACAUCAUAAGCUCUUCAAAGAACUGUACCCAUCAAAGAACUUGCUUCCAAAACAUCAUUUUAUGGUCCACUACCCUAGAUGUAUCAGAAAAAUUGGACCUCUUAUUCACAUCUGGACUAUGCGAUUUGAAGCCAAACACAAAUUUUUUAAAGAUUGUGUGAAGAACUUCAAAAAUUUAACAGUAUCACUUGCAAAUAAACACCAGCUUUCAGUAGCAUAUCACUGGGAAUGUCUGUCAGUUAAUGCCAUUGAGUCUGGUCCAGUUAAAACUUUUUCACUUGAAACAGUUGAAUUUUCAGAUGUUAUAAGAGCGUAUCUUCGUGCUGAUUCUCAACUCACUGUUUGCAUGACAAAGUGGGUCAAGUGUUCUGGAGUUGAGUAUCGAGUUGGACUUUUUGUCUGCAGUGCUACUGAGCAAAAUAUGCCACUAUUCCAAAAAAUAGUUUCAAUUUUUUUACACUCUGGUAAAGUGUUUUUUGUUUUGGUUCAGCACGAAACUUGUUUUCAUGACCACCUCCAUUUCUUCCAAGUGACUGAAAACAUACCCAGGAAGAUUUUUGUCAUGGAAAGAGAAAGAUUAAGACAUUUCAAGUGUUUUGAUGCUCAGAUGUCAUAUGGGUCUGAUUCACUCUCUUUUGUUGUGUCAGAAAGUUUUAUUAUCUAAAAGGGCUCUUGUUUUUUGAAGAGUAGUCUACUUCAUCUUCUAUUGUCCUGAAAAAACAAUUUUACAGAUCUGAAUGCAUGGUAAAAAAAUGCACUUUUUACAGAAUUUUGUAUGGGAUACACUGGCUUUUAUUUUUUUAAUGCAAUGUUUUUAUUGCAGUUUUGACAAUGUUUUUUGUGAAUUGGAUACAACAUAUUACAACAAUACUUUAUGUAUGGUGUAUCUGAAAAAUAAAAACAACAAAAGAAGUUCCGAGUAUGU